UACGUAGGGCGCAAGCGUUAUCCGGAAUUAUUGGGCGUAAAGAGCUCGUAGGCGGUUUGUCGCGUCUGCCGUGAAAGUCCGGGGCUCAACUCCGGAUCUGCGGUGGGUACGGGCAGACUAGAGUUCGGCAGGGGAGACCGGAAUUCCUGGUGUAGCGGUGAAAUGCGCAGAUAUCAGGAGGAACACCAAUGGCGAAGGCAGCUUGCUGGGACGGUACUGACGCUGAGGCGCGAAAGCGUGGGGAGCAAACAGG
rnacentral:rRNA from 1 species